CCUACGGGAGGCAGCAGUGAGGAAUAUUGGUCAAUGGCCGAGAGGCUGAACCAGCCAAGUCGCGUGAGGGAAGACGGCCCUACGGGUUGUAAACCUCUUUUGUCGGGGAGCAAAGCGAACCACGUGUGGUCCAUUGCGAGUACCCGAAGAAAAAGCAUCGGCUAACUCCGUGCCAGCAGCCGCGGUAAUACGGAGGAUGCGAGCGUUAUCCGGAUUUAUUGGGUUGAAAGGGUGCGCAGGCGGAGGUGCAAGUCAGCGGUCAAAUUGCGGGGCUCAACCCCGUACUGCCGUUGAAACUGCAGCCCUGGAGUGCGCGAGAAGUAUGCGGAAUGCGUGGUGUAGCGGUGAAAUGCAUAGAUAUUAGGAGGAACACCAGUGGCGAAGGCGGCCUGCUGGACGAUGACUGACGUUGAGGCUCGAAAGCGUGGGGAGCGAACAGGAUUAGAUACCCGAGUAGUC
rnacentral:rRNA from 1 species